rnacentral:rRNA from 1 species
GUAAACGGCGGCCGUAACUAUAACGGUCCUAAGGUAGCGAAAUUCCUUGUCGGGUAAGUUCCGACCUGCACGAAUGGCAUAAUGAUGGCCAGGCUGUCUCCACCCGAGACUCAGUGAAAUUGAAAUCGCCGUGAAGAUGCGGUGUACCCGCGGCUAGACGGAAAGACCCCGUGAACCUUUACUAUAGCUUGACACUGAACAUUGAAUUUUGAUGUGUAGGAUAGGUGGGAGACUAUGAAGUAGUCACGCCAGUGAUUAUGGAGUCGUCCUUGAAAUACCACCCUUUAACGUUUGAUGUUCUAACGAAGAUUACGAAACGUGGUCUCGGACAGUGUCUGGUGGGUAGUUUGACUGGGGCGGUCUCCUCCCAAAGAGUAACGGAGGAGCACGAAGGUUUGCUAAUGACGGUCGGACAUCGUCAGGUUAGUGCAAUGGUAUAAGCAAGCUUAACUGCGAGACAGACAAGUCGAGCAGGUACGAAAGUAGGUCAUAGUGAUCCGGUGGUUCUGAAUGGAAGGGCCAUCGCUCAACGGAUAAAAGGUACUCCGGGGAUAACAGGCUGAUACCGCCCAAGAGUUCAUAUCGACGGCGGUGUUUGGCACCUCGAUGUCGGCUCAUCACAUCCUGGGGCUGAAGUAGGUCCCAAGGGUAUGGCUGUUCGCCAUUUAAAGUGGUACGCGAGCUGGGUUUAGAACGUCGUGAGACAGUUCGGUCCCUAUCUGCCGUGGGCGUUGGAGAAUUGAAAGGGGCUGCUCCUAGUACGAGAGGACCGGAGUGGACGCACCACUGGUGUUCCGGUUGUGUCGCCAGACGCAUUGCCGGGUAGCUAAGUGCGGAAGAGAUAAGUGCUGAAAGCAUCUAAGCACGAAACUUGCCAAGAGAUGAGUUCUCCCUGUCUUUAAGACAGUAAGGGUUGUUUAAGACUAAGACGUAGAUAGGUCUGGUGUGUAAGCGGUGCGAGCCGUUGAGCUAACAGAUACUAAUUGCCCGAGAGGCUUAACUAU